rnacentral:rRNA from 1 species
CACGUAGGGCGCGAGCGUUGUCCGGAAUUAUUGGGCGUAAAGAGCUCGUAGGCGGCCUGUUGCGUCCGCUGUGAAAGCCCACGGCUUAACCGUGGGUCUGCGGUGGAUACGGGCAGACUAGAGGCAGGUAGGGGAGAAUGGAAUUCCCGGUGUAGCGGUGAAAUGCGCAGAUAUCGGGAGGAACACCGGUGGCGAAGGCGGUUCUCUGGGCCUGUACUGACGCUGAGGAGCGAAAGCGUGGGGAGCGAACAGG